rnacentral:rRNA from 1 species
GAUGAACGCUAGCUACAGGCUUAACACAUGCAAGUCGAGGGGAAACGAUAUUGGAAGCUUGCUUCCGAUAGGCGUCGACCGGCGCACGGGUGAGUAACGCGUAUCCAACCUGCCCAUCACUUGGGGAUAACCUUGCGAAAGUAAGACUAAUACCCAAUGACGUCUCUAGAAGACAUCUGAAAGAGAUUAAAGAUUUAUCGGUGAUGGAUGGGGAUGCGUCUGAUUAGCUUGUUGGCGGGGUAACGGCCCACCAAGGCGACGAUCAGUAGGGGUUCUGAGAGGAAGGUCCCCCACAUUGGAACUGAGACACGGGCCAAACUCCUACGGGAGGCAGCAGUGAGGAAUAUUGGUCAAUGGGCGAGAGCCUGAACCAGCCAAGUAGCGUGCAGGAAGACGGCCCUAUGGGUUGUAAACUGCUUUUAUAAGGGAAUAAAGUGGGAGUCGUGACUCCUUUUGCAUGUACCUUAUGAAUAAGGACCGGCUAAUUCCGUGCCAGCAGCCGCAGUAA